AUGAUGCGAGCCCCUGUUGGAGUGUGUGAACUCUCUUCUGCCCACUCUGUGCCUAGUGAAAGAGAGCAGGAAUGGGGAGGAGGGAGAAACAGAGAGAUGAGACAGAACUGGUGGGGUGUUCAUUUCUCCAUAGUCUGGCCGAGGAAGGGAGAUGAAAGGCACAACACUGAUACAGAGGGGGAGGGGAAGAGCGUAUAUCUUAGUACGCAACACCUUCUUCUGGCUUCUGCCACUGAUUGAUGCAGUUUGGUUGAUCAGCAGAUGUUUGCAGUCUUUAGCUUUUUGUUUUCGCUCCACGUAUGUCUUCUCCGACUAGCCAUGAUGGAUGAAAACCUCCCUGAGCUGGGCCAGUCGCCAGCUGACUGUAUGGAAUGGAUUCACCCAGUGUCACCGUGAUUAGCUCUAGUGCUGCAGGCAUGUUUGAACGCCAGGCACAUAUCUCCCUCUGUCUCCUGCAUCCAGGAAUCCAGGUGUGUGCAAGAGUGCAAGAGUGGCCAAUAGUGAGUGUGGAUGCAAGAAUGAGUUUUGUGUGUUUGUUAAAGACUGUGUGAAAGAGCGAGAGAAAGCACUAACCAGAGAGUCAGGACCAUGAUUUUCUCACAUAGCCCGACUUUCAAACUGUGGCUUGAAGUCUAGUCUAAACUGCAGCUUAUUCUGGCCAAGAACAGCCCACUUGAGACAGAAUGACCAACAUGAAAAGUGACUGGAAAUAUAAUAUAUAUGAAAAUAAAGAAGAACCAUUUUUGUGUUCA
ensembl:lncRNA